rnacentral:rRNA from 1 species
UACAGAGGUCUCAAGCGUUGUUCGGAUUCAUUGGGCGUAAAGGGUGUGUAGGUGGCGCCGUAAGUCGGGUGUGAAAUUUCGGAGCUUAACUCCGAAACUGCAUUCGAUACUGCGGUGCUUGAGGACUGGAGAGGAGACUGGAAUUCAUGGUGUAGCAGUGAAAUGCGUAGAGAUCAUGAGGAAGACCAGUGGCGAAGGCGGUUCUCUGGGCCUGUUCUGACGCUGAGGAGCGAAAGCGUGGGGAGCGAACAGG